rnacentral:rRNA from 1 species
UACGUAGGGUGCAAGCGUUAUCCGGAUUUAUUGGGCGUAAAGCGUCCGCAGGUGGUUUUCCAAGUCUGCUGUUAAAGCGCGAGGCUUAACCUCGUACAGGCAGUGGAAACUGGAUGACUAGAGUAUGGUAGGGGUAGCGGGAAUUCCCAGUGUAGCGGUGAAAUGCGUAGAUAUUGGGAAGAACACCAGCGGCGAAAGCGCGCUACUGGGCCAUUACUGACACUCAUGGACGAAAGCUAGGGGAGCGAAAGGG